GACAGAGGGUGCAACCGUUGUUCGGAAUUACUGGGCGUAAAGCGCGUGUAGGCGGCUUCGCAAGUCGGAUGUGAAAGCCCUGGGCUCAACCCAGGAAGUGCAUUCGAAACUGCAGAGCUGGAGUCCUGGAGAGGAAGGCGGAAUUCUCGGUGUAGAGGUGAAAUUCGUAGAUAUCGAGAGGAACACCGGUGGCGAAGGCGGCCUUCUGGACAGUGACUGACGCUGAGACGCGAAAGCGUGGGGAGCAAACAGG
rnacentral:rRNA from 1 species